AAUUCAUGAGAUGCGCGCUUAUCCUUUUGGUUCCGGUAUAAGUACAAACUGUCUAUUUCAGAAAUAGAUAUAAGUUCAGAUAUAAGCAAGAAUUAUAUUAAUUUUGUAUUUAAAUGAAAAUUAAAUUAUUUUCGUGAAUAAGAAAAAUAGCGUUUGUAUCGAUAAGAUGAAAUAAGAAGAAUAGUGUGUAGUUAUAAAUAAGAAAUAAUGAUAUUACACCUUUUAUUAUAUUUGAAUUUAAAUUUUUAAAAUUUAUUUUUAUAUUUUAAGUUUUAAAUUUUAAAUUUUAAAAUUUAAUUUUUAAAUUUUAAAUUCUAAAAUUAAAAAUUUAAAUUAAAAUUUCAAACUUUAAAAUUUGAGAUUAAAUUUAAAUUUGAAAAAUAUAAAAUAUCAAAUUUUAAGUUUAAAAAUUUUAAAAUAUCAAAUUUAAAAUUUAAAAUUUAAAAUUAGAAUUUAAAAUUAAAAACUUUAAUUUUGAGAUUACAAAUUAUAAAUUUUAAAAAUUUAAAAUUAAAAUUAAAAUUUUUAAAUUUUUAAUUUUAAAAAUAAAAAUAGGAGUGUGAACAACAAUUAUUGUAGUGUCCCUGAUGUUUAGCUGUCUGAGAGACUUCAGCAUCUGUGGCUUGUUGACGUGUUUGGUGGAUGUUGGGACAAGUCGGAGUCGUUUUGGCCCGAAGUGGACGCAAAACGGACUCGGCGCGGUGCGAGAGUAGAGUUCUAAUACUGAAAUCUAUAAAGUGCAGGAUUUUAGUGUUGAGUACUGGUAACUGGGAGGAGUACCGGUACUUCAGAGGGAUUACAAAACUGAAUGCUCUUG
rnacentral:lncRNA from 1 species